rnacentral:rRNA from 1 species
AUUGAACGCUGGCGGCAUGCUUUACACAUGCAAGUCGAACGGUAACAGGCCGCUAGGUGCUGACGAGUGGCGAACGGGUGAGUAAUGCAUCGGAACGUGCCCAGUCGUGGGGGAUAACUACUCGAAAGAGUAGCUAAUACCGCAUACGAUCUAUGGGUGAAAGCGGGGGACCGUAAGGCCUCGCGCGAUUGGAGCGGCCGAUGUCAGAUUAGGUAGUUGGUGGGGUAAGGGCUCACCAAGCCAACGAUCUGUAGCUGGUCUGAGAGGACAACCAGCCACACUGGGACUGAGACACGGCCCAGACUCCUACGGGAGGCAGCAGUGGGGAAUUUUGGACAAUGGGCGCAAGCCUGAUCCAGCAAUGCCGCGUGCAGGAAGAAGGCCUUCGGGUUGUAAACUGCUUUUGUACGGAACGAAACGGCUCUGGUUAAUACCCGGCGCUAAUGACGGUACCGUAAGAAUAAGCACCGGCUAACUACGUG